CCUACGGGAGGCAGCAGUGGGGAAUAUUGCACAAUGGGCGAAAGCCUGAUGCAGCGACGCCGCGUGAGGGAUGACGGCCUUCGGGUUGUAAACCUCUUUCGACAGGGACGAAGCGUGAGUGACGGUACCUGUAGAAGAAGCACCGGCUAACUACGUGCCAGCAGCCGCGGUAAU
rnacentral:rRNA from 1 species